GGUCUUAUCAUGCAUUCAUGCACUACCCACAGUCAUAAGACAACUACAGGAUUUACUCACAGCUCUAUAUCAAAUGACUAUUUCUACAACCAGUGACUCUAUCACUUCAGCCCCACAAGAACUCGAACAGAAUUCCAGCUCAGCAAGUUGCAUGAGGUGGAAGUGGAAGAGCAACUAUCAAGAAAGUUAAGCUGCGUUUUUGAGUUUUAUUUUUGAUGAUGAACUGAAUAUAGGCAAAUGUACUUGUGUCACUAAUUACUAUUUGUAUGCAGAUUUCUGCUUCUGUUCUAAGAGCAACAAUUUUAUGAAUGUACUUGUGUCACUGAUUGCUAUUUCUAUUCUAAGAGCCACAAUUUGCAGUGGAAGAGCAGCUAUCAAGAAAGUUAAACUGUGAUUUCGAGUUUUAUUUCUGAUGAUGAACUGAAUAUAGCCAAAUGUACUUGUGUCACUGAUUACUAUUUCUAUGCAGAUUUCUAUUUCUGUUCUAAGAGCAAGAAAUUUAUGAAUGUACUUGUGUCACUGAUUGCUAUUUCUAUUCUAAAAACCGCAAUUUUAUAAAUGUUGACUGUAUUUUAAAUUGUAUAAUUGUCAUUUAAUAUUGCAUGAAAUGGAAUCACCAAAGAUGUAAUGUUUUAUAUAUUUAUGUCCAAAUAAGUUCUUUUCUGAAAAAUCCAAAUUAUCAAUAAAUAUUUGUUUAAAA